rnacentral:rRNA from 2 species
AUGGUUAAGUUAGAAAGGGCGCACGGUGAAUGCCUUGGCACUAGGAGCCGAUGAAGGACGGGACUAACACCGAUAUGCUUCGGGGAGCUGUAAGUGAGCUUUGAUCCGGAGAUUUCCGAAUGGGGAAACCCACUGUUCGUAAUGGAACAGUAUCUUUAUCUGAAUACAUAGGAUAUUGAAGGCAGACCCGGGGAACUGAAACAUCUAAGUACCCGGAGGAAGAGAAAGCAAAUGCGAUUUCCUGAGUAGCGGCGAGCGAAACGGAAUUAGCCCAAACCAAGAGGCUUGCCUCUUGGGGUUGUAGGACACUCUAUACGGAGUUACAAAGGAACGAAGUAAAUGAAGCGACCUGGAAAGGUCCGUCGAAGAAGGUAACAACCCUGUAGUUGAAACUUCGUUCCCUCUUGAGUGGAUCCUGAGUACGGCGGAACACGUGAAAUUCCGUCGGAAGCUGGGAGGACCAUCUCCCAAGGCUAAAUACUACCUAGUGACCGAUAGUGAACCAGUACCGUGAGGGAAAGGUGAAAAGCACCCCGGAAGGGGAGUGAAAGAGAUCCUGAAACCGUGUGCCUACAAGUAGUCAGAGCCCGUUAACGGGUGAUGGCGUGCCUUUUGUAGAAUGAACCGGCGAGUUACGAUCCCAUGCAAGGUUAAGCUGAUAAGGCGGAGCCGUAGCGAAAGCGAGUCUGAAUAGGGCGUUUAGUAUGUGGUUGUAGACCCGAAACCAGGUGAUCUACCAUGUCCAGGGUGAAGUUCAGGUAACACUGAAUGGAGGCCCGAACCACGCACGUUGAAAAGUGCGGGGAUGAGGUGUGGGUAGCGGAGAAAUUCCAAUCGAACCUGGAGAUAGCUGGUUCUCUCCGAAAUAGCUUUAGGGCUAGCCUCAUGUUGUGAGAGUCUUGGAGGUAGAGCACUGAUUGGACUAGGGGCCCCCAACGGGUUACCGAAUUCAGUCAAACUCCGAAUGCCAAAGACUUAUCCAUGGGAGUCAGACUGCGAGUGAUAAGAUCCGUAGUCAAAAGGGAAACAGCCCAGACCACCAGCUAAGGUCCCCAAGUAUACGUUAAGUGGAAAAGGAUGUGGAGUUGCUUAGACAACCAGGAUGUUGGCUUAGAAGCAGCCACCAUUUAAAGAGUGCGUAAUAGCUCACUGGUCGAGUGACUCUGCGCCGAAAAUGUACCGGGGCUAAACGUAUCACCGAAGCUGUGGAUUGACAUCUUAGAUGUCAGUGGUAGGAGAGCGUUCUAAGUGCUGUGAAGUCAGACCGUAAGGACUGGUGGAGCGCUUAGAAGUGAGAAUGCCGGUAUGAGUAGCGAAAGACAAGUGAGAAUCUUGUCCACCGAAUGCCUAAGGUUUCCUGAGGAAGGCUCGUCCGCUCAGGGUUAGUCGGGACCUAAGCCGAGGCUGAAAAGCGUAGGCGAUGGCCAACAGGUUGAUAUUCCUGUACCACCUCCCCGCCGUUUGAGUAAUGGGGGGACGCAGUAGGAUAGGGUAAGCGCGCUGCUGGAUAUGCGCGUUCAAGCAGUUAGGCUGAUGAGUAGGCAAAUCCGCUCAUCAUAAAGGCUGAGCUGUGAUGACGAGGGAAUUAUAGUACCGAAGUUCCUGAUUCCACACUGCCAAGAAAAGCCUCUAGCGAGGCGGGAGGUGCCCGUACCGCAAACCGACACAGGUAGGCGAGGAGAGAAUCCUAAGGUGAUCGAGAGAACUCUCGUUAAGGAACUCGGCAAAAUGACCCCGUAACUUCGGGAGAAGGGGUGCUCUGGUAGGGUGUAUAGCCCGAGAGAGCCGCAGUGAAUAGGCCCAGGCGACUGUUUAGCAAAAACACAGGUCUCUGCGAAGCCGCAAGGCGAAGUAUAGGGCUGACGCCUGCCCGGUGCUGGAAGGUUAAGAGGAGGGGUUAUCCUUUGGGAGAAGCUCUGAAUCGAAGCCCCAGUAAACGGCGGCCGUAACUAUAACGGUCCUAAGGUAGCGAAAUUCCUUGUCGGGUAAGUUCCGACCCGCACGAAAGGCGUAACGAUCUGGGCACUGUCUCAACGAGAGACUCGGUGAAAUUAUAGUACCUGUGAAGAUGCAGGUUACCCGCGACAGGACGGAAAGACCCCGUGGAGCUUUACUGUAGCCUGAUAUUGAAUUUUGGUACAGCUUGUACAGGAUAGGUAGGAGCCUGAGAAGCCGGAGCGCUAGCUUCGGUGGAGGCGUCGGUGGGAUACUACCCUGGCUGUAUUGAAAUUCUAACCCGCGGCCCUGAUCGGGCCGGGAGACAGUGUCAGGUGGGCAGUUUGACUGGGGCGGUCGCCUCCUAAAAUGUAACGGAGGCGCCCAAAGGUUCCCUCAGAAUGGUUGGAAAUCAUUCGUAGAGUGUAAAGGCACAAGGGAGCUUGACUGCGAGACCUACAAGUCGAGCAGGGACGAAAGUCGGGCUUAGUGAUCCGGUGGUUCCGCAUGGAAGGGCCAUCGCUCAACGGAUAAAAGCUACCCCGGGGAUAACAGGCUUAUCUCCCCCAAGAGUCCACAUCGACGGGGAGGUUUGGCACCUCGAUGUCGGCUCAUCGCAUCCUGGGGCUGUAGUCGGUCCCAAGGGUUGGGCUGUUCGCCCAUUAAAGCGGUACGCGAGCUGGGUUCAGAACGUCGUGAGACAGUUCGGUCCCUAUCCGUCGUGGGCGUAGGAAAUUUGAGAGGAGCUGUCCUUAGUACGAGAGGACCGGGAUGGACACACCGCUGGUGUACCAGUUGUCUUGCCAAAGGCAUCGCUGGGUAGCUAUGUGUGGACGGGAUAAGUGCUGAAAGCAUCUAAGCAUGAAGCCCCCCUCAAGAUGAGAUUUCCCAUAGCGCAAGCUAGUAAGAUCCCUGAAAGAUGAUCAGGUUGAUAGGUCAGAGGUGGAAGCGUGGCGACAUGUGUAGCUGACUGAUACUAAUCGAUCGAGGACUUAACCAAA